UGCACUGCCAGUGGUGAGCUGCACCAGCUGUGACCUAAUGUGGUCCCCCUCAGUUAAGGACAUCCUGGGUAGUGGAUAUUGGCCUGGCACCUUAAAUUUCUGCACCCUGUUUUCAAUGGAUGUCUUUCAGUCUUUCUAUGACAUUAAGAAGGCUGCACCAGGGAUGUCACUUAAGGCAUUUGUCAAAAUGCUGGAUGAAAGAACAGCCCAUUUCGGAAGGACUGGCCGAAUAUCAGCUGAUGCCUUCAGUAAAAGCUUUGUGGAGUGGAGUGCUGUUUGAGGUGGACAGGAUGUGGAAGGAGCCAUGCGUUAGCUGCCCUGCCUGCACUCCAGACGUGCUUGCCGUCUCAGUUGAUGGAAACCGUAAGCUUUAUCGCUUUCAAUCUAAUGCAAGCACUUCAGAGCAGGCGAACUUUGAAGGUGUCUUCAUUGAAAAAGAUGAGGAAGUUGCUGAGUUUAUGAAAUACAUCCAGAGACACACAAAUGAUGUGGCUCAGCUGAGGACUCUUGUCAAUGCGUCCUUUUCUCUCCAUCAUGCAUGCAAAGGCUCUCAUUUGGAAAUGCGAGAUCAAAUGGGGAGGUGCGUUUCAGGAUGGGGCCGGUUCUACAGUUGGAAAAGAGGUGGGACAAGUAAACAGUUUCCUGUCUAGGGCG